UACGUAGGGUGCGAGCGUUAAUCGGAGUUACUGGGCGUAAAGCGUGCGCAGGCGGUUUUGUAAGCCAGGUGUGAAAUCCCCGGGCUCAACCUGGGAAUGGCAUUUGGGACUGCAAGGCUGGAGUGCGGCAGAGGAGACUGGAAUUCCUGGUGUAGCAGUGAAAUGCGUAGAUAUCAGGAGGAAUACCGAUGGCGAAGGCAGGUCUCUGGGCUGACACUGACGCUCAUGCACGAAAGCGUGGGGAGCAAACAGG
rnacentral:rRNA from 1 species